rnacentral:rRNA from 1 species
AUGACAGGCCCAAAGUCUCGCUCGUCUCCCUUUCUAACGGUGGACACACACGGGACUCGGAUCUUGGGUCGUCGGAGAAGAAUCAGCAGCAGGAAAUCAACCAGAGAAAGGAUGCACACCAGAGGGUACAUAGCACCAGAGGUCAUGGACACCGGAAAUGUUACAGUCAAGUCAAAUAUGUACAGUUUGGGUGUUCUGAUAAUAGAGAUCGCCACCGGAGACAGGUGUCCUAGCGACGAAUCAUCAGGACGGUCAUAUAUCGAGAAUGCAGUAAAUACUUGGAUGCAAGGUUCCAACGUCGAAUUGAAGUACCCAUCACUUGAAGCGGGUUUCAUCCAACAAGUGGAGUGUUGGAUCAACAUUGGGCUGAAUUGUGUGGAUAUCCAACCCGAAAGAAGGCCUACUAUUGGACAAAUAAUGCAUUUCCUUGAGACUAAAUCUGCCAAUCCAGAGUAUUACUACUAUGGAGAAUUCAUCAUGUCCUCUGAGAGCAGCAUCACGGCAUGGUCUUCUUCAGAAAUGCGUAAUCAAGCGAAUGAACUGAAGGCCCUGGAGAGCAUGUUAAGUGAUGCAAGUGCAGAGCCAACAAAGCUAUCAUAUGCACUUUUAAAAUCAGUUACAAGAAAUUUUUCUCGAAUGAUUGGGCGUGGUGGGUUUGGAGCUGUUUACCUGGGAAUUCUUCCAAAAGGGAAAGUUGCUGUGAAGAAGCUCUGUAUAUUGCAGGAUUUAUCUAAUAAUGCAUUCGUGGACGAGAUUGUAUGUUUAAAAAAGGCACAUCAUAGUAAUGUAGUCAGACUUCUAGGCUAUUGUGCAGUUGCACACGGUGAACUGAUGGAAGUGAAUGGAACACAUGUUAUAGCAGAGGAAACACAAAGGUUACUCUGCUUUGAGUAUGUUCCUAAUGGAGACCUUCAGAAUUAUAUUAAAGAGAAAUGUGCUGGACAUGAAUGGCAAAUACGUUACCAAAUGAUUAAGGGGAUCUGCCAUGGUCUACACUACCUUCACAAACAACGCAUUACUCAUCUGGAUCUGAAACCUGAGAACGUUCUGCUGGAUGCUAACAUGGAACCAAAAAUUACAGACUUUGGUCUGUCAAGAUUCCUUGCUGAAGGGGAAUCCAUAAUUGUGACCAAGCAAAUAUUUGGAACACGGGGAUCAAUUGCACCAGAACUUAUUAAUAGUGGUGAAAUAUCAUUCAAGUCAGACAUAUAUGGCUUGGGUGUCAUAAUCACAAAACUAUUAACAAGAGAUAACAACUACGAUUUCGAAAAUUGGCAUAAAACACUAGAGGUGGGCUGCUCACAAGAGAAAAGGUGUGUUGAGAUAGCUCGAAAAUGUGUGGAGUAUGACCAACAUAAGAGGCCUACGAUGGAUGAGAUCAUGCAGGAGCUGAACGAGAUGGAGAACACUAUCCAAGAGAAGAAGCCUUCAGUUGUUCAAAAAUGGAGAAACAACCUGUCGUCUUCACUGAAGGGGCACUGGAGACAGAGGAAGGAUCGAAACUAG